ACGCGAGCUGGGUUCAGAACGUCGUGAGACAGUUCGGUCCCUAUCCGUCGCAGGCGUAGGAAAUUUGAGAAGACCUGUCCUUAGUACGAGAGGACCGGGAUGGACGUACCUCUGGUGUACCAGUUGUUCUGCCAAGGGCAUGGCUGGGUAGCUGUGUACGGAAUGGAUAAGCGCUGAAAGCAUCUAAGCGCGAAGCCAACUUCAAGAUAAGAUUUCCCACCGCAAGGGUAAGACCCCAGAAAGACUAUCUGGUUGAUAGGUCGAAGGUGUAAGUGCAGCAAUGUAUUUAGCUUAUCGAUACUAAUAGGUCGAGGACUUGACCAAU
rnacentral:rRNA from 1 species